UACGUAGGGUGCGAGCGUUAAUCGGAAUUACUGGGCGUAAAGCGUGCGCAGGCGGUUCGUUAUGUCCGAUGUGAAAGCCCCCGAGCUCAACUUGGGAAUGGCAUUGGAAACUGGCGGGCUGGAGUGUGGCAGAGGGGGGUGGAAUUCCACGUGUAGCAGUGAAAUGCGUAGAGAUGUGGAGGAACACCGAUGGCGAAGGCAGCCCCCCUGGGCCACACUGACGCUCAGGCACGAAAGCGUGGGGAGCAAACAGG
rnacentral:rRNA from 1 species